GGAACUUUGAGGCGGCCAAUAUCAUCAUGGCCAGUAGACCAGAGCUUGAUAGGGAUCCUCUCCAGAGCACUGGGGGCAUGAGGGACCCUUGAUUCCCCUGCAGGAGAUUCUAAAUGUAACAGUAAUGGGAGGGAGCAAAGCGCUGAAGUGUCCUUUCGUGAUAAAGGUGUGUUUAGCUGAACUUGGCCAUCUGCGGUAAAGGUAAUAGAUGCUUGAAGACGGGACAGAACAUCAGCACCCAAUAGGUUAAUGGGGCAGGUAGAGGAAACAACAAAUCAGGACAGAAUGUCAGAACCCACACGGAGGAGCUUAGUGAGGGGGUUACUGCGGGGAGUACCAUCAACACCAACGCAAGAGACAUCGAUGUCAGACAAAAAGGAGGGAUCAGGCAGGUCUUGUUCUCUGAGAACACUACGGGCUGCACCUGUGUCAACUAAGAAAGUAGUGGGGUGUCCCUCAGUGGGAAGAACUACAGUAGCUAGGGGCACUCCCUCAUCC